CAGUAGCCGCGGGAAUGCAGAGGAUGCAAGCGUUAUCCGGAAUUAUUGGGCGUAAAGGGCUCGCAGGCGGUUUCUUAAGUCUGAUGUGAAAGCCCCCGGCUCAACCGGGGAGGGUCAUUGGAAACUGGGAAACUUGAGUGCAGAAGAGGAGAGUGGAAUUCCACGUGUAGCGGUGAAAUGCGUAGAGAUGUGGAGGAACACCAGUGGCGAAGGCGACUCUCUGGUCUGUAACUGACACUGAGGAGCGAAAGCGUGGGGAGCGAACAGGAUUAGAUACCCCAGUAGUCCCUGUCUCUUAUAC
rnacentral:rRNA from 1 species